rnacentral:rRNA from 1 species
UUCUUCGGAUGAAGAUCUUGGUGACUGAGUGGCGGACGGGUGAGUAACGCGUGGGUAACCUGCCUCAUACAGGGGGAUAACAGUUAGAAAUGACUGCUAAUACCGCAUAAGACCACAGCACCGCAUGGUGCAGGGGUAAAAACUCCGGUGGUAUGAGAUGGACCCGCGUCUGAUUAGGUAGUUGGUGGGGUAACGGCCUACCAAGCCGACGAUCAGUAGCCGACCUGAGAGGGUGACCGGCCACAUUGGGACUGAGACACGGCCCAAACUCCUACGGGAGGCAGCAGUGGGGAAUAUUGCACAAUGGGGGAAACCCUGAUGCAGCGACGCCGCGUGAGCGAUGAAGUAUUUCGGUAUGUAAAGCUCUAUCAGCAGGGAAGAAAAUGACGGUACCUGACUAAGAAGCACCGGCUAAAUACGUGCCAGCAGCCGCGGUAAUACGUAUGGUGCAAGCGUUAUCCGGAUUUACUGGGUGUAAAGGGAGCGUAGACGGAGUGGCAAGUCUGAUGUGAAAACCCGGGGCUCAACCCCGGGACUGCAUUGGAAACUGUCAAUCUAGAGUACCGGAGAGGUAAGCGGAAUUCCUAGUGUAGCGGUGAAAUGCGUAGAUAUUAGGAGGAACACCAGUGGCGAAGGCGGCUUACUGGAC